rnacentral:tRNA from 1 species
GGAGGCGUGCCAGAGUGGUUUAAUGGACCGGUCUUGAAAACCGGCGAAGGGAUCAACCCCUUCCGUGAGUUCGAAUCUCACCGCCUCCGCCA